UAAGAAAUUAGUUAAUUUAUAAUAUAUGCUCGUCAUGCAUAAGUAAUCUUAUAGAUAUUUCUUAA
rnacentral:tRNA from 1 species